UGGCGGACGGGUGAGUAAUGUCUGGGAAACUGCCUGAUGGAGGGGGAUAACUACUGGAAACGGUAGCUAAUACCGCAUAACGUCGCAAGACCAAAGAGGGGGACCUUCGGGCCUCUUGCCAUCGGAUGUGCCCAGAUGGGAUUAGCUUGUUGGUGGGGUAACGGCUCACCAAGGCGACGAUCCCUAGCUGGUCUGAGAGGAUGACCAGCCACACUGGAAUUGAGACACGGUCCAGACUCCUACGGGAGGCAGCAUG
rnacentral:rRNA from 1 species